GCACCGGCGUGGGCGAACAGGCGGUACUUCAGGGAACUGUCGAACUCCGAGAGGGCCUCACGUGGGCCACGAGGCUCGGUCCGGUUCCGAUGCUGGUGCU
rnacentral:tRNA from 1 species